rnacentral:rRNA from 1 species
CCUACGGGAGGUAGCAGUGAGGAAUAUUGGUCAAUGGGCGCAAGCCUGAACCAGCCAAGUCGCGUGAGGGAAGACGGCCCUACGGGUUGUAAACCUCUUUUGCCGGGGAGCAAGCCUGAGCACGUGUGCCCAGGCGGAGAGUACCCGGAGAAAAAGCAUCGGCUAACUCCGUGCCAGCAGCCGCGGUAAUACGUAGGUGGCGAGCGUUAUCCGGAAUGAUUGGGCGUAAAGGGUGCGCAGGCGGUUUGA